GCUUGCGUAGGCAGAACUGUACUAAAAUUGGAAAGAUACAGAGAAAAUUAGCAUGGCCUCUACACAAGGAUGACAUGCAAAUUCAUGAAGCGUUCCAUGUUUUU
rnacentral:snRNA from 1 species